GGGUUCAUGCUUAGUGGUAGAACAUCUGCUUUGCAUGCAGGAAGUCCCAGGUUCAGUCCCCUGGGAACG